UUGUGUGCGGUCUGGCCGUGCA
rnacentral:misc_RNA from 1 species